GAUCAUGGCUCAGGAUGAACGCUGGCGGCGUGCUUAACACAUGCAAGUCGAGCGAAGCACUUAGGAAAGAUUCUUCGGAUGAUUUCCUAUUUGACUGAGCGGCGGACGGGUGAGUAACGCGUGGGUAACCUGCCUCAUACAGGGGGAUAACAGUUAGAAAUGACUGCUAAUACCGCAUAAGACCACAGUACCGCAUGGUACAGGGGUAAAAACUCCGGUGGUAUGAGAUGGACCCGCGU
rnacentral:rRNA from 1 species